ACAACCUGCCCUUGAGAAUAGUACGCUACUUCAGUUCCAUCUGGUAAUCCAUUAUCCUCAAAAACCAACUUAUGCAACCGCAGAUCUCUAGAUAAAAGACAUCACAAGACCAACAGAAAUUAUUUCUCGAAUCAUACUGUAAGAAUUUAUUUA